AAGACCUUGCGCCUUUGGAGCGGCCGAUGUCUGAUUAGCUAGUUGGUAGGGUAAUGGCCUACCAAAGCUUCGAUCAGUAGCUGGUCUGAGAGGACGACCAGCCACACUGGGACUGAGACACGGCCCAGACUCCUACGGGAGGCAGCAGUGGGGAAUUUUGGACAAUGGGGGCAACCCUGAUCCAGCCAUGCCGCGUGAGUGAAGAAGGCCUUCGGGUUGUAAAGCUCUUUCAGCCGGAACGAAACGGUUACGGUUAAUACCCAUGACUACUGACGGUACCGGAAGAAGAAGCACCGGCUAACUACGUGCCAGCAGCCGCGGUAAUACGUAGGGUGCGAGCGUUAAUCGGAAUUACUGGGCGUAAAGCGUGCGCAGGUGGUUUUGUAAGUCAGAUGUGAAAGCCCCGGGCUCAACCUGGGAACU
rnacentral:rRNA from 1 species